CAGCAUACUGGUCGUUGUCAAUCAGGGGCGGUAGCGUG
rfam:Yersinia mollaretii ATCC 43969 contig01585, whole genome shotgun sequence.